rnacentral:lncRNA from 1 species
UGACUGCUCCAAACUUGGAAUUUCGGGCUAAAAAAUUCAGGUUUUUUUUUCGUAACAGGCUGCAAAUUUGGAUUUCUGUGCUCCAAAAGCAAGUUGUUGCUGCUCCAAAAAUUGCUCCAAAUCAUAUUUCGGCUGUUGCACCCCUGUAAAAGGCACAAA